UCUUCCUAUGGGGACUGGACCCGGGGGGAGGGGGACCACUGUCCAGGUGGCUGGGAUAGUGGAGGAGCAGAGUGAGCUGCGCUCAGUCCUUCUCCCCACACCCUGGCCACACCCCCAGGCCCGGGUCCAGUCCUGACAGUCUCCCCCGCUGCCUCAAGCUCCUGAUGGUUCAUGGAAGACUUGUUUCCUGGACUCUAGCUGGCAGCUCUCAGGCUGUUCCCCCAAGCCUAACCUGUGGCUCCUCCUGGAUGCCUUUGUGUCCCUGUAGCACACAACAGGCCCCCACCUCCGAGCACCCUGUGAUGACCCUAGCACCCAGCGACCUGCCCAUCAACUGCACACAGCCGCAGAGAUAGGAAGGGUGCAGAGCGGUUCCAGCUCCGCCGCUCAGGCUGCGGACUCUGCCCUCAGAGCCUGGAGUCCUGAUCUACAGGAUGGGAACAGGAAGCCUUACCUUGGAAGGAUGCUGUCCUGUAAGCUGAGCAGCUUCCUGUGGGUCUGCUUGGGAGCCAGUGUGGCUUGACCAGGCUGCCACUGGGGACCCCAGCCUGGCAUCGGAGAACAACCCUGCCUUGCCUCAGACCCUGUUACUCAGGCAAGCCACUUCCUGAGUCUGCUCCAAACCCCAUCCGCCUUGAGCUCUCAUUAUCCACGCAUCAAGCAAGCCAUCUUCCCGCAGCCUCCAGCAACUGUGGAUGCAGACCUGACAUGGCCUCCUACACAGCAGCUGUGUCUGAACUUCUCCGUCUGUGAAAUGGGUGCACAAUUAAAUGUGGC